ensembl:lncRNA
AAUCCUGCCGAAGCAGCCAGGUAUUCUGAAGGCCAGAGAUCCCAGGUAAUCUGGCUCUCUUGAUGUUCUUGGUAGCAAACAGCUUUAUAGCAUAGUUUAUCUUUUUAAGAUGCAUGCCUUGUGGGUAGGGGGGUGGCUUUAGAAGAUAAGUGCAUGAUGCAAAUACUCUCUAUUGAGCACACCUGGGUACUAUUCCAUGCUCUGUUUUGUGUAAGGAACGUGUGUUCCCAAACUCUAGAAAUGAUCAACUAAAGCUAAAGGCUUGGUAGCAGCUUCCUCUCUGAUAAGACGACGAAUGUGAUUGAGCUGCACAAUAGCUCAGCAACUUCAGUUUCACUCUAUACCUCCGCUGGCAAUGUAGAACGAGGAUAAUGUGACCGUAUUUAUACUCUCAAACCUCGUCCUUGCUGAUAUUUCUACUCAUCAGCACUAAGUCAUUUGAUGGCUGACUUGUUCUGUCCUGAUGUCUCAAAUGCUUGGAAGCUGAAUUGUGGUUAGCAUGAAGGUCCUUAAGAGUGUAUUAAUUUAGAAGAGAUAGAUAUAAAAACUUGGGUCACUUUCCUAUACAGUGAAAAUUGACAGAACAUUAUAAAUCAACUAUAAAAAAAAAUUUUAAAAGAACGAGGGUGCUACACUCUCCCCCUUAAAAAAAAAAAAAGAAGAAGAGAAUAGCCAAGGAUUUUAGAAUACAUUUAAAAGUUAUCUUCAUUUCUCCAAAUAAAAAUGUUUAACUCGAAAUAGUUAGACUGCAAGUAUUUAGAUUAUUUUUCCUCGAAGGAUUUUCUCUCAGGUAAUGUGGAAGAGUGGUGUAAAUUUUCACUUCUCAUGUUGGUUGCUGUGUGUCUGUGUGGUAGUGAGUAAAAUACGUAAUAUCAAAAUCAACAGGGCAGAAAGCCAAGGUUAUAUGCCAACGUUCUUUUUCAAUCUAAUGGCAACUUGAUUUAAAUGAAUGUGCUAGAUCCUCUUAGUAUAUUUACCAAAGUAUAAACGUGUUCCUUUGGCCCUGACUGUUGGUGUUUUAAACAUCAUUUUGUUGAUCCCACUCUCAUAAUAUGAUUUACAUUUAAAUCAACUACAUGCAGCUUUUUCUGUAAUACCAUGAAAGAAUAGAAACUUAUUCAAGGUAGCCAGGAGUCUGGCCCUAAAGCUCCAUUGCCUGAGACUAAUCCUGGUUCUGCACCUUAAGACCUGGGAAUUCUGGGACAAGUUGUUUGACUCUGUGUCUAUUUCCUAAUCUAUAAAACAGAAAUAGGAAUGCCUCCUAACUCCGCAGGGUCCCUGUGAGGCUCAGUUAACCAAAUACACAUCAAAUGCUUACAGCAGGGUUUGGCUCAUUUCAGAUUUCCAUAAAUGUUAGCUAUUCAUGUAAGUAGUGCAUCAAUUACUACUCUCCAGCCCCCAGGCGGCUCCCACCUCAUCUGCAUCACCCAUGAAUACAAGGAUAUCUAUUCGGGCAUUAGGCCAGGUGUGAAUAAGCUUUCAUUCCUCACAGCAGAGUCUGCUACCCUGGCAGAUUCAUUUAAAGAGUCUGUUAUGAGUUGCUAUAUUAACUGAGUUAUGUAAAUGAGUUCUAUAAAUAACUGAAUUAUGAAAGAAUUCAAUGAAAUGGUCUCUCUAAAGACAAAAAGGCAAAUUUGGGCUGACAAUAGAAUAAACAAAUAUGUCCAUAAAAUCCAUUUCUAUUUGACUUCAUUGUUUUAAUAAUAUUG